UACGUAGGGAGCAAGCGUUGUCCGGAAUCAUUGGGCGUAAAGCGCGCGUAGGUGGCCUCAUAAGUCCGCUGUGAAAGUCAAAGGCUCAACCUUUGAAAGCCGGUGGAUACUGUGAGGCUAGAGUACGGAAGAGGCGAGUGGAAUUCCUGGUGUAGCGGUGGAAUGCGCAGAUAUCAGGAGGAACACCAAUAGCGAAGGCGGCUCGCUGGGCCACACCUGACGCUGAGACGCGAAAGCUAGGGGAGCGAACAGG
rnacentral:rRNA from 1 species